GACGAAGGAUGCAAGCGUUAUCCGGAUUCAUUGGGUUUAAAGGGAGCGUAGGUGGUCUUAUAAGUCAGUGGUGAAAUCUCUGGGCUUAACCCAGAAAUUGCCAUUGAUACUGUAGGACUUGAGUAUAGUUGCCGUUGGCGGAAUAUGACAUGUAGUGGUGAAAUACAUAGAGAUGUCAUAGAACACCGAUUGCGAAGGCAGCUGACGAAACUAUAACUGACACUGAGGCUCGAAAGUGCGGGGAUCAAACAGG
rnacentral:rRNA from 1 species